rnacentral:rRNA from 1 species
GGAACGAACGCUGGCGGCAUGCCUAAUACAUGCAAGUCGAACGAACACUUCGGUGUUAGUGGCGCGCGGGUGCGUAACGCGUGGGAAUCUGCCCUUGGGUUCGGAAUAACAGUUGGAAACGACUGCUAAUACCGGAUGAUAUCGAAAGAUCAAAGAUUUAUCGCCCAGGGAUGAGCCCGCGUAGGAUUAGCUAGUUGGUGAGGUAAAGGCUCACCAAGGCGACGAUCCUUAGCUGGUCUGAGAGGAUGAUCAGCCACACUGGGACUGAGACACGGCCCAGACUCCUACGGGAGCAGCAGUAGGGAAUAUUGGACAAGUGGGCGCAAGCCUGAAUCC